rnacentral:rRNA from 1 species
AAGUGUAACAAGGUUUCCGUAGGUGAACCUGCGGAAGGAUCAUUACCUAGAGUUGUAGGCUUUGCCUGCUAUCUCUUACCCAUGUCUUUUGAGUACCUUCGUUUCCUCGGCGGGUCCGCCCGCCGAUUGGACACAUUUAAACCCUUUGUAGUUGCAAUCAGCGUCUGAAAAACUUUAAUAGUUACAACUUUCAACAACGGAUCUCUUGGUUCUGGCAUCGAUGAAGAACGCAGCGAAAUGCGAUAAGUAGUGUGAAUUGCAGAAUUCAGUGAAUCAUCGAAUCUUUGAACGCACAUUGCGCCCCUUGGUAUUCCAUGGGGCAUGCCUGUUCGAGCGUCAUUUGUACCUUCAAGCUUUGCUUGGUGUUGGGUGUUUGUCUCGCCUCUGCGCGCAGACUCGCCUCAAAACAAUUGGCAGCCGGCGUAUUGAUUUCGGAGCGCAGUACAUCUCGCGCUUUGCACUCAUAACGACGACGUCCAAAAAGUACAUUUUUUACACUCUUGACCUCGGAUCAGGUAGGGAUACCCCGCAGCCUCUCCUGCGCAGU